UACGUAGGGGGGCAAGCGGUGUCCGGAAUUAAUGGGCGUAAAGCGCGCGUAGGCGGUGCUAUAAGUUGGAUGUGAAAGGCUACGGCUCAACCGUAGAGCUGCAUCCAAAACUGUAGCACUUGAGUGCAGGAGAGGAGAGUGGAAUUCCCGGUGUAGCGGUGGAAUGCGUAGAGAUCGGGAGGAACACCAGUGGCGAAGGCGACUCUCUGGCCUGCAACUGACGCUGAGGCGCGAAAGCGUGGGGAGCAAACAGG
rnacentral:rRNA from 1 species